rnacentral:rRNA from 1 species
AAUAGAUACCCGUGGUAGUCCACGCCGUAAACGAUGAACACUAGGUGUAGGGGGUGUCGACUCCCCCUGUGCCGAAGCUAACGCAUUAAGUGUUCCGCCUGGGGAGUACGGCCGCAAGGCUAAAACUCAAAGGAAUUGACGGGGGCCCGCACAAGCAGCGGAGCAUGUGGUUUAAUUGGACGCAACGCCAAGAACCUUACCCGGGCUUGACAUGUUCCUGACCGGCCUGGAAACAGGUCUUCCCUUCGGGGCAGGAUCACAGGUGGUGCAUGGCUGCCGUCAGCUCGUGUCGUGAGAUGUUGGGUUAAGUCCCGCAACGAGCGCAACCCCCGUCGCAUGUUGCCAGCAUUAAGUUGGGGACUCAUGCGAGACUGCCGGUGACAAACCGGAGGAAGGUGGGGAUGACGUCAAGUCAUCAUGCCCCUUAUGUCCGGGGCUACACACGUGCUACAUUGGCGCGUACAGAGGGCUGCGAUACCGGCGAGGUGGAGCGAAUCCCUUAAAGCGCGUCUCGGUUCGGAUUGCAGGCUGAAACCUCG